GCUCCCUUCGUCUAGCGGUCUAGGACAUAGCCCUCUCAAGGCUAAGAUCGCGGGUUCGAACCCCGCAGGGAGCGCCA
rnacentral:tRNA from 1 species